rfam:Elusimicrobia bacterium GWD2_63_28 gwd2_scaffold_1187, whole genome shotgun sequence.
GGGCUUGUGGCGGAACUGGUAGACGCGACUGACUUAAAAUCAGUUGGCCGCAAGGCCGUGCGGGUUCGAGUCCCGCCUUGCCCA